GCUAAGUUGGUAAAGCACAAGGCUCUUAACCUUGUGGACGUGGAUUCAAGUCCCAU
rnacentral:tRNA from 1 species